GAGUUCACAUAGAGAGAAAUCAGUCAAGAGAACUAGACACUUCAGAAAGGUAUUUUGUUGGAAAGGUUUAUCACCUUAACAAAAGGGCUCAAGGAACCAAAGACACUAAACAGAGGGUCAGCAAUAACAAAAGAAAAAGUCAAAACAGUACUAAAUACAGAUAUAGCUACAGAAGUUAGCUUCACAUAUCACUGGUCUAUGUCUGAAAUGAACCAACGGUGGUGAUUAACCGAAAUCUAAACAGCAUUUUGUGAGAUGGGUCCGAGGUAAUCACCCUCCAAGCUCACAACAGCUUGGAAUUCCUUCUCCGCCUCCACAUACCUUGCUCCAACCACGAUGAAACGCACCACAGUGUCUUUCUCAAUUCUGGACAUCUUCUCAUUCAUAAAGAUGGGAUUUUCUCCAGGCACAUACUUGUAGUCAGCCAUCUUCUGAUGAGAGAGAUAUACCUUGUCUGUGGGGCCACAUCUCAAGAAGACACCAUGCUUCAAGAUCUUUUCAACAACCCCAUCUAAAAUCUCUCCACGGAAUAUCUUGAAGGUAAUGCAGCUGAACUCGACAGGGAAAAGCACAUCACCAGUGUGUUCUCGAACUUUCCCUUCCCCAAUCCUCUCCAAUGUAGUAACAGCCAUAAAGUAACCAAGACUUUUGGACGCCUUCUUCGAAGCGAAGUCAUCCAGGAGGCGAAUAACAAUUGCCUUCUGAAGCAUUAAACCUUCAACGUCAAGGUUCUCAGCAGGGAUUAUCACAUUCCAUGAUAAUUGAGAUUUCAAAAACAUUUUAUAUGACCUUCGGCGGAGAAACCGGCGACGGAGAAGGUGAGGUACGG
rnacentral:misc_RNA from 1 species